UACGGGGGGAGCAAGCGUUGUUCGGAUUUACUGGGCGUAAAGGGCGCGUCGGCGGCCACCGCAAGUCGACUGUGAAAUCUCCGGGCUUAACCCGGAAAGGUCAGCCGAUACUGCGGGGCUAGAGUGCAGAAGGGGCAACUGGAAUUCCAGGUGUAGCGGUGAAAUGCGUAGAUAUCUGGAGGAACACCGGUGGCGAAGGCGGCGUCCUGGACCAACACUGACACUGAUGAGCGAAAGCCAGGGGAGCAAACGGG
rnacentral:rRNA from 1 species